CCGUGCGAGUGACCGGUCGCAUCCGCAAGGAUGAGGAAAGUCCGGACUCCACAGGGUUGAGGACCCGUUCGUAAAGGACGGGAGGCAUGGGGCAAUCCCAUGCGAUGGAAAGUGCCACAGAGAAUAGACCGCCCGCAGGGGCAAGGGUGAAAUGGCGGUGUAAGAGACCACCGGCGCGGCUGAAACGACGCGUGCAGGGUAAACCCUCCUCGGAGCAAGAUCAAAUAGGGAACUGAACGGGCUGCCCGUCCGAUCCGGCGUCUUUCGGGAUGCAGGUUAAGUUCCGGGUUGAUCGCUUAGAUGAAUGACCGGAGCGCUUAAAGGCGUGAACAGAAUCUGGCUUAUUCGCCGCACGGAACC
rnacentral:RNase_P_RNA from 1 species